rnacentral:rRNA from 1 species
CCUACGGGAGGCAGCAGUGGGGGAUAUUGCACAAUGGGGGAAACCCUGAUGCAGCGACGCCGCGUGUGGGAAGACGGUCCUCUGGAUUGUAAACCACUGUCCCCAGGGACGAAGAUGACGGUACCUGGGGAGGAAGCUCCGGCAAACUACGUGCCAGCAGCCGCGGUAAUACGGAGGGAGCGAGCGUUGUCGGGAAUUACUGGGUGAAAGGGGAGCGUAGGCGGGGAUGAAAGUUGGGUGUAAAAACUACCGGCUCAAGUGGUAGUCGAACUCAAAACUGCAGCUCUUGAGUGAAGUAGAGGCAGGCGGAAUUCCUAGUGUAGCGGUGAAAUGCGUAGAUAUUAGGAGGAACACCAGUUGCGAAGGCGGCCUGCGGGGCUUUUACUGACGCUGAGGCUCGAAAGUGUGGGGAGCAAACAGGAUUAGAUACCCGGGUAGUC